rnacentral:rRNA from 1 species
UACGUAGGGGGCUAGCGUUGUCCGGAUUUAUUGGGCGUAAAGAGCGUGUAGGCGGCCAGGUAGGCCUGGUGUGAAAACUCGAGGCUUAACCUCGAGAUGUCAUCGGAAACCAUUUGGCUAGAGUCCGGAAGAGGAGAGUGGAAUUCCUGGUGUAGCGGUGAAAUGCGCAGAUAUCAGGAAGAACACCAAUGGCGAAAGCAGCUCUCUGGGACGGUACUGACGCUGAGACGCGAAAGCGUGGGGAGCGAACAGG